rnacentral:rRNA from 1 species
GACGAACGCUGGCGGCGUGCUUAACACAUGCAAGUCGAACGGUAAGGCCCUUCGGGGUACACGAGUGGCGAACGGGUGAGUAACACGUGGGUGAUCUGCCCUGCACUUCGGGAUAAGCCUGGGAGACUGGGUCUAAUACCGGAUAGGACCACGCGCUUCACGGUGUGUGGUGGAAAGCUUUUGCGGUGUGGGAUGGGCCCGCGGCCUAUCAGCUUGUUGGUGGGGUAAUGGCCUACCAAGGCGACGACGGGUAGCCGGCCUGAGAGGGUGACCGGCCACACUGGGACUGAGAUACGGCCCAGACUCCUACGGGAGGCAGCAGUGGGGAAUAUUGCACAAUGGGCGCAAGCCUGAUGCAGCGACGCCACGUGAGGGAUGACGGCCUUCGGGUUGUAAACCUCUUUCAGUAGGGACGAAGCGCAAGUGACGGUACCUACAGAAGAAGGACCGGCCAACUACGUGCCAGCCGCCGCGGUAA